UACAGCUCCGAUUCAACCCAUAGCCUGGGAACCUCCAUAUGCCUCGGGAGCAGCCCAAGAAAUAGCAACAACAAAAGACAAAAAGACAAAAAAAAAAAAAGAAAAUCAAUUGACCAUAAAUGAGAAGGUUUAUUUCUGGAGGCCUAAUUCUAUUCCAUUGAUCUCUAUGUUUCCAAUAUUUUAAAAAUAAUUUUAUUCCUGCAUUUAUGUAAAAUAAAACAUUUAUAUAUAUGGAAACAUAAGAAGAAGUUUAAAGGAAAUAUUAAUCCCUCUGUGGUAAAAUAAGCUGUUGGUUCCAACUAUCAUAUCUCUUCAGUGGUUAUACACAUGCACACCCUUACCUUAUCAAGGUAGAGUGCAUGUCCUGUGGGCUUGGUCCAUUUGACUCUGGGCUUGACCAGGCAGUUUGCUCUGACUCUUGGAAUGUUGGUGAACAUUACAUAAAGAGAUACUUAAUGUACCCUUGUGUAGUUGGUCUUGCUUUUAUGUGCUUUUGUUGUCAUAUGAAAAGAAUAUGUUCUGGGUAGCCACUGGUUCCAAAUGAAUGGUAGAUGCCUGGAACAAACCUGAAACCGCUUUGUGAUCUGGAGCCCAGCUGAGUUUAGCCAGACCCCACUCACAACUCAGAGGCUUAGGCAAGAAAUAAAUGCUUAUCACUGAUUCCCAUUAUGGUGUUUGCAGUUGGCUGUUCUGCAGCAACACCUAAGACGCCUACCACCUAGAGAUAACCACUCCUAUCAGUUUGGUCUUUUGAUAAAAACAAGAUCAUGAAAAAAUUAAACAUUUUUAUAUAUGUAUAUUUGCACCUCCAUUGUUUUUACUUAACAUUUUCCCAUACUACCCUGUGUUUAAAAUUCUUGAUAGAGGAGUUCCUACUUUGCUGCAGUGGGUUAAGAAUCUGACUACAGCUGCUAGGGUCUCUGCAGAGGCAUAGGUUUGCUCCCUGGCGUAGAGCAGUGGGUUAAAGAUCUAGCAUUGCUGCAGCUGCAGCAUACGUAGCACCUUCAGCACAGAUUUAAUCCUUGGCCUGGGAACAUGGAAAUAUGCUGCAGAUGAAGCCAUACAAAUUUUAAUUUAAAAAAUUGUUUAAAGUUAUUGUACUCUUUUAAUUAUCCACAUAUUUCAACCUUUAAAAGUUAUGCAUUUCUCUUAACCAUUUCUAAGUUACUUUUACUAUUGUAAGUAAAAGUACAAUGAAUUGCACUCACUUUCCCUCUAUCAUAUAAAUCUUGGUCUACAUGUCACAUGAUUUCCACAGAAUGGAUUUCUAGAAUAACUUUAAUAAGUUCCUUUAACCAGGACUCAAGUAGAGUCACUGAGUCCUGAUUUCCAUGUCAUUGCUAUUGAUGUUUCCAUCUAUACUCUUCAGCUAAACCAAGAUUGUUCUGCUUCUUAACAGACAUAGGCAAAUUUGAUUUCAAUUUUUGAAAAACCAUUUUUGUGAAAUCCUCCAGCAUAUUCCAUUAUACUGUCUUGGGACAUGUAUAGUUUAUUCUAAAGAAGGAAGUUGUUGUCUCAAAAAAUAAGCUAUCCAAAGCCCUACCUUUCUUAAUUUCCUUUGGACGUAUUUGGAAAUAGGGCAUGUGGACAAAAUAUAAGUACUUUUUUUUUUUAAUAUUGGCAUAGUUCAUAAUGCAGCAUAUGCCUAGGAUGAUGGUAUCCAGGGUACCAGCCAGGUCUAAUUUUCUUUAUGUUUGUAACAGUAUCUGGCAGAGUGCAUAGAUUCAUUCAAUAAAUAUUUGUUGAAUAAAUGAAUGUAAGAAAUAAAAUGUUAAAACAGCCUUUCAGGCCAGAAAUUACUAUCCUCACAAUGAUUAAUAAUUAUUUCUAAGGUUUCUAAAGUGACAAAUAUUCUACAUCUAAAAUUAGAUGUAGGGCUUUAAAGAGUAGGCCAGAUGGCUGAAAUAUACCUGAACUUCUCUGGGUGCAAAUAAAUGGAUCUCUCUCCAUUCUUUGACUUUCCUUUUCCCCCAGGGCAAAAAAGGUCACAUUUUUUUUUCAGAUCAUAUAAUGACUGAUCCAGUUUCUCUUUGGCAACUGCUCAAAGGAUGACUUCAGGAACCCCAAUGUCUGUCCUAGAACAUGACAGACACUGAGCCUUCUGGAAAGUCUUGUUCAGGGUGCCCAUCAUUUGUCAUCUUCCAAGCUGAAUCCCUGAUCUCACUUGGCCAUCACCUUUCUCUGUAUCUGCCCCGUGGGGACCUGGGGCCCUCUGUUCCCACUUCUGCAUUGGCUUCCCAGGGACUGCCACCUGCCACCACUCACCUCCUCGGGCUAAGCCUGAAGGUCCCCAUUCAAAGGCAAAGAUUUUCAUCUGGCUUAGAUACUUAGCACAUUAAAUGCCACUCUUAUCUAUUCACACCCCAGGCAACAUUUUUAUUUAUUUAUUUUUAAGUUGGUUUUGCAAGUCAGUCACCUGGAAAUUCCCCAGACAGAAAGGGAACAAAGGACAGGAAAACCCAACUAGGUUCACUUAAGUUGAAGGUGCUGAGCAAAGGACAGCUGAGGUACUGCCCUGGGAACUGGGUGAUGACAGAAAAGGGAAGGUCCGGGGGAUAUUCUCAGACCCACACAGCCGUGGUCACCAUCUGCAUAGGGCUAAUCCAGGCUACAGAUGCCGGCAACACACAGAACCUCUUUCUCCCUCCUCUGCCCCUCCUCCCAGCACAGGCCCACUUGUUUGAGGGCUCAGAACCUGCUAACAGAGCAGAGAAAGGCUAAGGAAGUCCUGGACAACUGAGAAUUCCUGUUCAGCUAGUAGAGAGAGGUGGGUUCUUCUGCUCCGUUUUUCUGGCAAAUCACCUGCCUGGGGUUGAGUCGGGGACAGAGGCGCUGUAGUGACUCAGCUGAAUGAAGCACAGAAAGAAAAUAGGAAUGCGGGGCUUUAAAGUACCCACAGAAAAUUUGAUUACCUUGUCACCCAAGAGCCAACAUUCACUGCAACUCCUGAAUAAAAGCAAAGGUCUUGAAAGGGAGUGAAAAUGCAGAUGAGACAGUUAUCAGAUAGGAGUUAUCAGUACAAAAGAGAUCCUUUCACUUGACAGCAGAUUAGUCCUCAGGGCGUUGCCCUUAAGGCUUGUCCCUAACUGGCUACUUACAGAUGCUCCUUGAUAUUUGCUUAGAGAAGCCCUGCUGAUGUCCCAUCAUAUAGGAAACUGGCUACGAAUUUUUAACCAUUGCAGCUGUGAUGAUGAAAUGGUGAAGAAAGAUCUGCCUCUAAGUCAAAAACUGCAUCUAGAGAGACAAGGUUCAUUGUCAAUGCUGCAUCGCUGCUUCUGACUACAAGGCCACUGCACUGCUCAGUAAGUGGGGAUGCAAGGCUGAAGCUGAUUCAUCCCAGCGUGAGCAAUCCCCUCCUUUCUCUAUAAACAAUACCCCGUGCUCCACCUUUCAUUACAUGGUAGGAGGUGGGGGGGAUAGGAAAAGUGAGAGAGAAUGAUUUUAAAUAUAUGGCAAACUUUUAAAUAAAGGAAAGGGGGAAACAAAACUCCUUAAAACUCUACUAUUAGCAGGGCAAAAGGAAUGAUAAUGCCUUAAAUCUGUCAUCAGGCAGGCAUAACGAUUCUGGGAAGAGCAUUGUAUUCAUUGUGUUGGCUACAUAAUGGAGGUGUGCAAAUCUGUGCCAAGGUGAGUGACAUUAAAAUAACACCUAGAGUUUUUGCUGAUGCUUGUAUCAGAGAAUUGUUUCCCACUGUGGCAGAUACUUCAGUGAUUAAAAUGAGAACAUAUCUUCUGCCAAGAUUUCUGAGGAAAUCUAUGAGUUUAGAAAAGAGGGUAUAGGAUAAAUAAAAUACCUUGAUGAGGAAGUUUCAGAGUUAAUUAAGAAAGCUGCAGUUUAAGAAAUAACAACAACAGAAAAAGAUGAUUGCAUUGCCUCUAACCGAAGGCUUUCUGCUUCUUGUUUCUUCUGGGAGUUCUGGGAUUUUUUUAAUUAUUUGGUUUUAUAGGAAAUGUACAAAAAUUGGCUGAAGUAACUCACUUGGUUUUAUGUUCACUAAUUCAAUUUUUCACCCAAAACAAUGUGAACAUAUUUCCAUGUGUACAGAAGAAAUGGACGGAAUGGGUUAAAAAAGAAAGAAAGAAGGAAUUAAAGACAGAGACAAAGAAAAAUCAGAAUAUCUUAAUACCCGAUGAGCCUAAAAUUCAUCAACACAUGAAAAGUGACUGCUUUUAUAGCCAUAUGGAUUACUGGAUUUGAUACCGAUUUUAAUGAAUUAUCAUGCCGAAUAUAUUAUCUAGUACAAUUUCUAUUUCUUGUGAACGGGUAUGUCCUCUUUCAUAGUUAUUGAAAUAGGUUAAUGUAUGUAGCUAUUUGCUAAAAGUGUGCAUUUUACACAUAAAAAAGUUUUGGAAAUCAAAUCACCUCAUUUGUUUUCAUUACAUGAAAUGCUGCUUGGGGAAAUUGUUAGGCAAAGUACCAAGAAUAUGACACCUCCCCCAAAACAGCCCAGUCUUGUCUAUGUGCCCAGCCUACCAUGCUCUGCUCAAACUUGACCCUGUGCAAGGUUUUACCCUCCAUCGCUUGGCUUGUUAAGGGGUGUGUAUUAAUUUGCCUUUAUUCUGUAUAGGGCCAGACAUAGGUAGCGCCAGCCCUGUACACAACACUGUGUUGGGUCCUUGGGCUGCAACCACAAGCACAGAUGUAAUGGACAUGGUCCUGCCUCUCCGCUACUGAGCAUGGUCAUGGGAAACAAGAGGAUCGCAAGAGACAGGUAUGCCCAGGAAUUGGGGGAGCAUUGGUGUGGGACGACAUUGCCCCAUGUGCAAUUAGCUGAAAAGCAUUUACCCUCUGAGAGAUUUGCAGCCAAAUCCUUCUUCCAGCAUUUUCCAAAUAGUCAGGGUGGCAACACAGUUUCUUCCCUGUUUUUGUCUGGGGCAACUCUUUGAAUCCUUGAGGCAUAUUUUAGGACCCUUCUAGAAAAUUAAUUGGAUGCACAGUGGUAGUUAAAAAAAAAAAAAAAAGUUGCAUGCCAUAUAUAUGGUCCUUAUUACUCACUUGUAAUUUUAGGAGUGUGUACAAUUUCUCACUUGGGGGUAAUGCAAUAUACCUAACUAAACAUGCAUGUCACUUGCAUUUGAUAACAUAAUUUAUUUUUUUUCUUCAUUCCCCCAAAAGAUAGGUUUUAUUGCUGAUUACACUGUACAGGGUGGGGGGAAAGAGGAAAUAAAAGGUAAACUCUACUUUUAAGGGCUUAACAGAGCAUGAAUCCUCUCAGUUGCUUUUCAAUUUCUGUACACUGUGGUUGAGUCUGGAAUUUAGUUGUCACCGCAGCUGACUCAAAAAGAUUCUCAAAAAUGGGUAAAUACAACUUUGGUUAUAAAACAAAUGUUCCAGGUAGUGAAAUAAGUUGAAAAGAGAAAGAGUGGGGAAAAUAUUCAUAAGUCUGAACUUCAGUAGAAUUUGACCAAUUCUCAAGAACACUGGGGAAAUUCAUUGUAAAUUGUUAAAACAUUACCCAACUUUCUAGAAACAUCCAUAGUGCAAGAAAUUUUGCUCCUGUUUUCUCCCAAAUUUCAAAGAAUAUAACACCUACCAGAAGCCAGAUUCUCAGAGGGCAGUCGAGGAAUUUCAGAUCAGUGCAAUGAAAUGUCACUAGAACAUAGAGCCUAUGGUCUCUCUGAGAUGUUGAGCAUGCAUUACUAAUGACUAUGGGUAGGCAACACAUGUAUGCAUCAUUCUGCUGAAUUUGAAUCCUAUUUUAACAAUUUAAUGAUUUUCUGCUAGAUUUUCCUUGGUAGCCAUGAGAAGAAUGAGUUGAACAUGUAAUUUUGAUAUAUUUUUAAGGCAGCAAAGUAGCCUAUUGUAUACUGAAAUAUAACCCAGUUGACAUCUAUGUAACAGUAUAUCUGUUCAAUCCCUGGCCUCACUUAGUGGGUCAGGGAUCUGGUGUUGCCAUGAGCUGUGGUGCAGGUCCCAGAUGCGGCUUGGAUCCUGAGUUGCUAUCACUGUGGCAUAGGCUGGCAGCUGCAGUUCUGAUAUGACCCCUCCUAGUCUGGGAACUUC
rnacentral:lncRNA from 1 species